GAUGAACGCUAGCGGCAGGCUUAAUACAUGCAAGUCGAGGGGCAGCAUGAUUGUAGCAAUACAAUUGAUGGCGACCGGCAAACGGGCGCGGAACACGUACACAACCUUCCAACAAGUGGGGGAUAGCCCAGAGAAAUUUGGAUUAAUACCCCGUAACAUAGCGAUGUGGCAUCACAUUGCUAUUAUAGAUUUUUCGCUUGUUGAUGGGUGUGCGGCUGAUUAGAUAGUUGGCGGGGUAACGGCCCACCAAGUCUACGAUCAGUAGCUGACGUGAGAGCAUGAUCAGCCACACGGGCACUGAGACACGGGCCCGACUCCUACGGGAGGCAGCAGUAAGGAAUAUUGGACAAUGGACGCAAGUCUGAUCCAGCCAUGCCGCGUGAAGGAUUAAGGUCCUCUGGAUUGUAAACUUCUUUUAUAAGGGACGAAAAAAGGCUUUUCUAAGUCGUCUGACGGUACCUUAUGAAUAAGCACCGGCUAACUCCGUGCCAGCAGCCGCAGUAAUAC
rnacentral:rRNA from 1 species